UCAGUCGACGUCCUACGGGGAGGCAGCAGUGAGGAAUAUUGGUCAAUGGAGGGAACUCUGAACCAGCCAUCCCGCGUGUAGGAAGACGGCCUUAUGGGUUGUAAACUACUUUUAUACAGGAAGAAACGUACCCUCGUGAGGGUGCCUGACGGUACUGUAGGAAUAAGCACCGGCUAACUCCGUGCCAGCAGCCGCGGUAAUACGGAGGGUGCGAGCGUUAUCCGGAUUUAUUGGGUUUAAAGGUCCGUAGGCGGAUUAAUAAGUCAGUGGUGAAAUCCCAUCGCUUAACGAUGGAACUGCCAUUGAUACUGUUAGUCUUGAAUGAGGGUGCAGUGGUUGGAAUGUGUAGUGUAGCGGUGAAAUGCAUAGAUAUUACACAGAACACCGAUUGCGAAGGCAGCUUACUAGACUGUAACUGACGCUGAUGCACGAAAGCGUGGGGAUCGAACAGGAUUAGAUACCCUGGUAG
rnacentral:rRNA from 1 species